rnacentral:rRNA from 1 species
GCGUGUGUGAAGAAGGCCUGCGGGUUGUAAAGCACUUUCAAUUGUGAGGAAAAGCUUUAGGCUAAUACCCUGAAGUCUUGACGUUAGCAAUACAAGAAGCACCGGCUAACUCCGUGCCAGCAGCCGCGGUAAUACGGAGGGUGCAAGCGUUAAUCGGAAUUACUGGGCGUAAAGCGUGCGUAGGCGGUUUAUUAAGUCAGAUGUGAAAGCCCCGGGCUCAACCUGGGAACUGCAUUUGAUACUGGUAGACUAGAGUAUGGUAGAGGGGGGUAGAAUUCCUAGUGUAGCGGUGAAAUGCGUAGAUAUUAGGAGGAAUACCAGUGGCGAAGGCGGCCCCCUGGACCAAUACUGACGCUGAGGUACGAAAGCGUGGGUAGCGAACAGGAUUAGAUACCCUGGUAGUCCACGCCGUAAACGAUGUCAACUAGCCCGUUGGGACCUUGAGGUCUCAGUGGGUGCAGCUAACGCGUGAAGUUGACCGCCUGGGGAGUACGGCCGCAAGGCU